UUAAGUUAGAAAGGGCGCACGGUGAAUGCCUUGGCACUAGGAGCCGAUGAAGGACGGGACUAACACCGAUAUGCUUCGGGGAGCUGUAAGUGAGCUUUGAUCCGGAGAUUUCCGAAUGGGGAAACCCACUGUUCGUAAUGGAACAGUAUCUUUAUCUGAAUACAUAGGAUAUUGAAGGCAGACCCGGGGAACUGAAACAUCUAAGUACCCGGAGGAAGAGAAAGCAAAUGCGAUUUCCUGAGUAGCGGCGAGCGAAACGGAAUUAGCCCAAACCAAGAGGCUUGCCUCUUGGGGUUGUAGGACACUCUAUACGGAGUUACAAAGGAACGAAGUAAAUGAAGCGACCUGGAAAGGUCCGUCGAAGAAGGUAACAACCCUGUAGUUGAAACUUCGUUCCCUCUUGAGUGGAUCCUGAGUACGGCGGAACACGUGAAAUUCCGUCGGAAGCUGGGAGGACCAUCUCCCAAGGCUAAAUACUACCUAGUGACCGAUAGUGAACCAGUACCGUGAGGGAAAGGUGAAAAGCACCCCGGAAGGGGAGUGAAAGAGAUCCUGAAACCGUGUGCCUACAAGUAGUCAGAGCCCGUUAACGGGUGAUGGCGUGCCUUUUGUAGAAUGAACCGGCGAGUUACGAUCCCAUGCAAGGUUAAGCUGAUAAGGCGGAGCCGUAGCGAAAGCGAGUCUGAAUAGGGCGUUUAGUAUGUGGUUGUAGACCCGAAACCAGGUGAUCUACCCAUGUCCAGGGUGAAGUUCAGGUAACACUGAAUGGAGGCCCGAACCCACGCACGUUGAAAAGUGCGGGGAUGAGGUGUGGGUAGCGGAGAAAUUCCAAUCGAACCUGGAGAUAGCUGGUUCUCUCCGAAAUAGCUUUAGGGCUAGCCUCAUGUUGUGAGAGUCUUGGAGGUAGAGCACUGAUUGGACUAGGGGCCCCCAACGGGUUACCGAAUUCAGUCAAACUCCGAAUGCCAAAGACUUAUCCAUGGGAGUCAGACUGCGAGUGAUAAGAUCCGUAGUCAAAAGGGAAACAGCCCAGACCACCAGCUAAGGUCCCCAAGUAUACGUUAAGUGGAAAAGGAUGUGGAGUUGCUUAGACAACCAGGAUGUUGGCUUAGAAGCAGCCACCAUUUAAAGAGUGCGUAAUAGCUCACUGGUCGAGUGACUCUGCGCCGAAAAUGUACCGGGGCUAAACGUAUCACCGAAGCUGUGGAUUGACAUCUUUGAUGUCAGUGGUAGGAGAGCGUUCUAAGUGCAGCGAAGUCAGACCGUAAGGACUGGUGGAGCGCUUAGAAGUGAGAAUGCCGGUAUGAGUAGCGAAAGACAAGUGAGAAUCUUGUCCACCGAAUGCCUAAGGUUUCCUGAGGAAGGCUCGUCCGCUCAGGGUUAGUCGGGACCUAAGCCGAGGCUGAAAAGCGUAGGCGAUGGCCAACAGGUUGAUAUUCCUGUACCACCUCCCCGCCGUUUGAGUAAUGGGGGGACGCAGUAGGAUAGGGUAAGCGCGCUGCUGGAUAUGCGCGUUCAAGCAGUUAGGCUGAUGAGUAGGCAAAUCCGCUCAUCAUGAAGGCUGAGCUGUGAUGACGAGGGAAUUAUAGUACCGAAGUUCCUGAUUCCACACUGCCAAGAAAAGCCUCUAGCGAGGCGGGAGGUGCCCGUACCGCAAACCGACACAGGUAGGCGAGGAGAGAAUCCUAAGGUGAUCGAGAGAACUCUCGUUAAGGAACUCGGCAAAAUGACCCCGUAACUUCGGGAGAAGGGGUGCUCUGGUAGGGUGUAUAGCCCGAGAGAGCCGCAGUGAAUAGGCCCAGGCGACUGUUUAGCAAAAACACAGGUCUCUGCGAAGCCGCAAGGCGAAGUAUAGGGGCUGACGCCUGCCCGGUGCUGGAAGGUUAAGAGGAGGGGUUAUCCUUUGGGAGAAGCUCUGAAUCGAAGCCCCAGUAAACGGCGGCCGUAACUAUAACGGUCCUAAGGUAGCGAAAUUCCUUGUCGGGUAAGUUCCGACCCGCACGAAAGGCGUAACGAUCUGGGCACUGUCUCAACGAGAGACUCGGUGAAAUUAUAGUACCUGUGAAGAUGCAGGUUACCCGCGACAGGACGGAAAGACCCCGUGGAGCUUUACUGUAGCCUGAUAUUGAAUUUUGGUACAGCUUGUACAGGAUAGGUAGGAGCCUGAGAAGCCGGAGCGCUAGCUUCGGUGGAGGCGUCGGUGGGAUACUACCCUGGCUGUAUUGAAAUUCUAACCCGCGGCCCUGAUCGGGCCGGGAGACAGUGUCAGGUGGGCAGUUUGACUGGGGCGGUCGCCUCCUAAAAUGUAACGGAGGCGCCCAAAGGUUCCCUCAGAAUGGUUGGAAAUCAUUCGUAGAGUGUAAAGGCACAAGGGAGCUUGACUGCGAGACCUACAAGUCGAGCAGGGACGAAAGUCGGGCUUAGUGAUCCGGUGGUUCCGCAUGGAAGGGCCAUCGCUCAACGGAUAAAAGCUACCCCGGGGAUAACAGGCUUAUCUCCCCCAAGAGUCCACAUCGACGGGGAGGUUUGGCACCUCGAUGUCGGCUCAUCGCAUCCUGGGGCUGUAGUCGGUCCCAAGGGUUGGGCUGUUCGCCCAUUAAAGCGGUACGCGAGCUGGGUUCAGAACGUCGUGAGACAGUUCGGUCCCUAUCCGUCGUGGGCGUAGGAAAUUUGAGAGGAGCUGUCCUUAGUACGAGAGGACCGGGAUGGACACACCGCUGGUGUACCAGUUGUCUUGCCAAAGGCAUCGCUGGGUAGCUAUGUGUGGACGGGAUAAGUGCUGAAAGCAUCUAAGCAUGAAGCCCCCCUCAAGAUGAGAUUUCCCAUAGCGCAAGCUAGUAAGAUCCCUGAAAGAUGAUCAGGUUGAUAGGUCAGAGGUGGAAGCGUGGCGACAUGUGUAGCUGACUGAUACUAAUCGAUCGAGGACUUAACCAA
rnacentral:rRNA from 2 species